AGGAGGAGAAGCAGGCGGGGAAGGCAGUCACGAGUUCGUCUGCUCAUUCGUGAGUUUGUGGCACUUGAGUGACAUGUGCCAGUCCAGUGUUUGUCGCCAAGUGUGGCCUUGGAUCCCCUGCCGCAUCAUCCAAUAAACAGGUUCCCGGACUCGCCCCGACCCAAACUCAGACCUACAGAACGCAGUACCCAAGUUCGGUCCGGGGACGAGUGGGAGCAAAGCGGCGCCAUCAAAGCAGGUUGACAGGAGAACUCGAAGAUGAAGAUCGAGGGUGUGCCCCGAGGAGCAAAAAAAUACUCCCCCGACUCCCCCCCCCGCCCCGGGAAGAAUCGGCCAUCAGUGGCCCACGCCGACGGGGUCCGGAGUCGCGGCCGGGGAGCGUGGCCGUGGCGGUGGCCGGGGACCGUGGCAGGCGCGGGCCGGGGAACGGACAGGGAAAGGGACCGAGGGCCUCUCCCCCUCGGCGACACGGGCGCCAGGCUUGCCUGGAGCUGCUGCUGGGAACUUAGGGAGCCGACGGGCCGGGGAAACCGCGUCCCCGGGUCGGCCGGGGGUGCGCAGCGUGGUCGUGGGCCGCUUCUGAGCGGUGGGGAGCGGGGGGCGCAGAGAGGACCUUCCCUGCGCGGCCGGGGUUGGCUCCCGCCGGCACCAGCCUGAGCCUGAGCGCGAGCGCCGUCCGCGGCCGGCAGGGGGCGCUGUCGCGACUGCGAGCCGGGUCCUGGGUGGCCGCCGCCUCCCGCCCCAGGCUCGGUCCCGGGGACCCCCACCUGCCCCACAAGUCACCAAUCAACCUCACUCCAGCCAGGGACGGAAGAGUCCCCGGGCCACCGCAGGAGCAGUGAGGCCUCCAGGGAAGCCACCUCUGAUCCGCACCGGCGGAUUUAUGGAGCCAGAGAAAGGUGAGUGGUCGAACUUUGCCUUCACCUUGAUCAGCAGAGCAGCAGGAAUUCGAUUUCUGGGGCAAGGCUGAAACCGCUAGGCAAGCACUUUCCGAGCGUUUCAGAAGGAUCUGUUUACUAACAAAUACGUGAUGUUAUAGCUUUGUUUUAAAGCGGUUCCUGCACAGCGUUUUGAACUCAGUCGAAUUGCUAAUUUUUUUUUUUUUUUUAAGGCAGUGUGUCCUAGUGAUGGGCACGCACCUGUUUGAAUCCCAAGACGGCCUGGGAGCUGGAGCCUCUCUCUGAGCGAGCUCCCUUACCCGUAGGUACAGACAACAGGUGUCACGGGGCACUGUGCGGGUUAAUACAUUCAAUGCCACUGCCCGCCCUAGCAUAUAGGGAGCUCUAACACAUCCUUCCAUUUCCUUCAGGAAUGUUUUGUUAUUCAAAACUGGCCUUCCUGUGUUAGCGCCUUCCAAAAUUGGGAAUGCCUCUUUUCUGUGGAUUCAAUUGCGUUGUGUUAGCUAUUUCUAUUCCAUAAAAUUGUAAUCAUCCUAUGCGUGCAUUUUAUAUCUUUCCUUUUUCUAAUGGAUGAGCCAAUAGUGAUACCUUAAUUACUAAAGUUCAUGGCACUAGAGUUCAUGGCUGUGUUGUACAUCCUGUGGGUUUUGACAAAGGUGUGACAUGCAUCGACCGUCUUUUUUGUUUUGUUUUGGUUUGGUUUUUGAGAGAGAGAAAGAGGGCAAGCACAAGUCUGAGGCAGAGGGAGAGGGUGAAGCAGGCUCCCCACUGAGCAGGGACCCUGAUGUGGUUUUCUAUCCCAGGACCCUGGGAUCAUGACCUGAGCCAACCGCAGGAGCCUAAGUGACUGAGCCACCCAGGCGCCCCCGACCAGUGUAGCAUCCUAUAGAACAGUUCCUUAAAAAUCCUCUGUGCUCUGCCUCUUCAUCCUUCCCUCCCACCCUCAGUAACCACUGAUCAUUGUAUUAUCUCCAUGGUUGUGCCUUUUCCAGAAUGUCGUAUAGUUGGAAUCAUACAGAAUGAUUAGCAGAAGGUACUCAGUAACUAUGGAGACUGAAUGAUUGGCUUCGUUCACUAAAGUAAGUUGCAUUUUUGGUCCCUUCAUGCCUUUUCAUGAAAUAAUAACUCUUUUCUUUUUUUGCCGAACAAUCCAGUGUCUGGAUGGGCCACAAUUUAUAUAUCCGCACACCUGCUGAAGCAUAUCGUGGUUGCUCCCAGGAUUUGGCAAUUAUGAAUAAAACUGCCCUAAACAUCCACAGGCAAGUUUUGUGUGCACGUCCGUUUUCAACUUCUGGAAAAAUGCCAAGGAGCAUAAUCACUGAACCACACGGAUGGAAAAUCUGUGCUUGGCACUGGAAAGGAAGUUCAGCUCCAGAGAGGGGCUUUUCCUGUGGGUCUCCAGAACCUUCCUCCCACUCUACCCUCCUCACAGCACGUUGAUGUGACGUCCCGAUGCUUCACAACACCAAAGGAUCUGUUCAGUGUUAAGACAGACAUGUUUUCCGUAUGGCUAUAUGGAAAAACAUGGCAAAGCGAAAGUGAGCUUCUCUACAGUGGGUAUGGCCCGGGUGAAAAUAAAUCAUUGUGCCUGCUGAGCUGGUGCGAAAUCCUGUUCCCCCUAAAUCAGACUUUCUACCUGAGGGAAAGGGAAAGCCGGAGGUGUGUUUGCUCUGGCUAAUGUGGCAGUAAUUCCUGGUUGCACACGAAGUUGGAAGGGUCCGGUGCCAGACAAGGAGCGCCGUGGGUCAUGGCGCUUCUCCCAGUGUCACCCAAGGGCCAUCUGGGGGCCCGUGACAUGCAGACUCCAGGGCACAGCCUGGCCCGACUAGGAGAGACCCAAGCAGGGGCAUCUCAGAAGUUCCCAGGCUGCUCAGAGGUCCAUUGACUUUGAACAUCAUUAAGUUAAAAGCACAAAGUUUACAAACCUGGAAACCUGGAUUUAGACGCCCUGUCCUCAUUCUUCAGAAUAGCAAAGUCUCUUCUCUGAAGUUCAGUAUUACUGGAAUAUUAAUUAAUUCAGUAGUAACUGUGGGCCUGCAGUGACAUCCCCACAUGACUCCUUUAACCUUAUUUGGGACACAAAAGACUGAGUUCCUCAUCAGUGUAUUUUUAAAUAUAUGUGCAGUAAAAGAAGAAGUAAGCCAGGUUUUCAGCUCAGGCCUCAAAUGGUAGUUGCUGUAGCUGACUGAUUUUGGACAAAUAUUUAAGUACCUUAAUUCUCAUCUGCAAAUGGGUAUAAUGGUCCCAGGACCCGCACAGCCAUGGAAUAUACCGAAGCUAGAGUGUUUGAGACCCACACUAAAACACAGCAGAGUGUCUCUGAAGACAGAGGGGUUCAGAAAGUACACAAUGUCUCCCGCUUCUGCUGCUGUGUUUUAUUUCACAUGAAAUAAUAAUAAUGACUAGCUUUAAGGCUUUAUCAUGUACUAGGUAUUUGCCUAAGCACUCCAUGCAUUAUUUAAUUCUGAAACAAUCCUAUGAAAUAGGUUAUACUCACAAUGCCCAUUUUAUAGAUACAGAAACUGAGGAAGGAACGUGAAGCAGCUUGCUUAUGGCUGCAUAGCUAGUAAGUUGCUAAGUCAGGAUUGGAACAUGGGACCUCAGAGCCUGUAGUUCCCCCGUCUCUUUGGGCCUCCAGCCCUUAAAGACCCAAUAAUAAGCUGGAAGAGGAAAAUUGAAGUCUGUUUUCUGAGAAACAGUGAAAAUUUAAUUCCUCUUUAGCAGUUAUAUGGUAAGAAGGUCCAGAUAAAAUUAUUCUGGUGCCUAAGGCAAAGCAAAAAGUUUCCUCUGGUGAGAUUUAUAUAUAGCACCUGUUCUGAGAUGCUUACAGUUUAAACCUGAAAUGUCCAAUUUGGUAGCCAUUAGCCACAGGCAUUAUUUAAGUUUAAAUUUUAAUUCAUCAGUGGAAUAUGAGAGUCCAGAUAUAGGCCCACACAUGUAUCAAAAACUGAUUUUCUUUUUUUUUUUAAGGAUGUAUAUAUUUAUUUAUUUGACAGAGAGAGCACAAGUGGGCAGAGCAGUAGGCAGAGGGAGAGGAAGAAGCGGGCUCUCUGCUGACCAGGGAGCCGGAUGCAGGACUUGAUCCCUGGACCUGGGAUCAUGACCUGAGCUGAAAGCACCGGCUUAACCCACUGAGCCACCCAGGCGCCCCCAAAACUGAUUUUCCAUAAGGGUACAAGGUGAUUCAGUGGACAAAGGAUAGUCGUUUCAACAAAUGGUUUUGAAACAAUUGGAAAAAAAUGAAUAAUCCCCACCUUGCUCCAGAUACCAAAUAGUACAUUUAAUGGUCCAUUUAACUCAAAUUGGACCAUACAUCUAAAUGUAAAGACAAAAACUAUAAAAUUUAUAGUAGAAAACAUAGGGGGGAAAACCUUUGUGACUUUGGGCUAGGCAAAGAUUUCUUAGGUGCCACACUGAAAACACGAUCCAUAAGAAACAAUAAAUUAAUAAAUUGGGUUUCAUCGAAUUCAAACUCUGCUCUUUGAAAAACACUCAGAAAAUGAAAAGACAAGUCAUCAACUGGGAGAAGAUAUUUGCACAUCAUGUAUUUGAUAAGGUAAGGGACUUGCAUCUAGAAUAUGUAAAGAACCCUCAAAACUCAGUACCAAAAAAAAUAUUACAAAAUGGGCAAAAGAUAUGAACACUUUACUUAAGAAGAUAUACCAAUAUCAAACCCAUGAAAAGAUGUUCACCAUCAUUAGGCAGCAGGAAAACUAAAAUUAAAACGGCAAUGAGGGGCGCCUAUGUAGCUCAGUGGGUUAAAGCCUCUGCCUUCAGCUCAGGUCAUGAUCUCAGGGUCCUGGGAUCGAGCCCCGCAUCGGACUCUCUGCUCAGCAGGGAUCCUGCUUCUCUUCUUCUCUCUGCCUGCCUCUCUGCCUACUUGUGAUAUCUGUCUGUCAAAUAAAUAAAUAAAAUCUUAAAAAAAAAAAAACACACACAGCAAUGAGACAAACCCAUUAGAAUGACUAAAGUGAAACGGCUGACCAUACCAGUUGUUGGCUGGUUUGUAGAGGAACUGGCAGGAGUGGACAAUGGUACAAGCACUUGGGAGAAGUUUGUCUGUUUCUAGCAAGGUAAACAAAACACCUACUCUGAUCCAGCCGUUCUGCUUUUAGGAAUUUACCCCAGAGAAGUGAAAGUGUUGGUCUUUAUGAAGAUCAGUGCAAGAACGCUCAUAGCAGCUUUAUUUGUUCAUAGCCAAAAAAUGGAAACCACCCAAGUAUCCAUCAACAGGUGAAAUUACGUCUCCAAACCAUGGAAUAUUCUUCAGCAAUAAAAUGAAACAAACAGACAACAUGGACGGAUCUCAAAGUAAUUUUGCUGAGUAAAAGAAGCCAAACCAAAAAAAAAAAAAAAAAAAAAGAAAAAGAAAAGAAAA